rnacentral:lncRNA from 1 species
UCUACUCUCCUUAGAAAUUAGGGUUUUGCUUUUUUUUUUUGUGUGAUUUAGGGUUUCCUACUAAUGGGCCUUGGGCUUUAUCCAAUUUCUUUCCACUCCCCCUAUCUUUGCUAACCCAAUGAUUUUUAUCUUCUAUUUAUAUUUGUUAGUAUUUAAUUAUAAUAUAGGUAAUCAAGUUUAAUUAGUUCUAGUUUUUUAAUUAACUUAAGUUAAUUAAUUUAAUUAUAAAAUAAUAUGAAUACAAAAUAUCAAAAAUUAUGUCUUUAUUCACUCUAAAA